AGAAUUUUUCUCAAUGGGCGCAAGCCUGAAGGAGCGACGCCGCGUGGGGGAUGAAGGGUUUCGAUCCGUAGACCCCUGUCAUUUGUGAACAAUGGUUAGUAUUUAAAAGAUGCUGACUUGAUAGUAAUGAAAGAGGAAGGGACGGCCAACUCGGUGCCAGCAGCCGCGGUAAUACAGAGGUCCCGAGCGUUGUUCGGAUUCACUGGGCGUAAAGGGUGCGUGGGUGGCGUGGUAAGUUUGAUGUGAAAGCUCAGGGCUCAACCCUGAAAUGGCAUUGAAUACUACUGUGCUGGAGGAUUGGAGGGGGGACUGGAAUUCUUGGUGUAGCAGUGAAAUGCGUAGAUAUCAAGAGGAACACCAGUGGCGAAGGCGAGUCCCUGGACAACACCUGACACUGAGGCACGAAAGCUAGGGGAGCAAA
rnacentral:rRNA from 1 species